UACGAAGGGGGCUAGCGUUGCUCGGAAUUACUGGGCGUAAAGGGAGCGUAGGCGGAUAGUUAAGUCAGAGGUGAAAGCCCAGGGCUCAACCUUGGAAUUGCCUUUGAUACUGGCUAUCUUGAGUAUGGGAGAGGUAAGCGGAACUCCGAGUGUAGAGGUGAAAUUCGUAGAUAUUCGGAAGAACACCAGUGGCGAAGGCGGCUUACUGGCCCAUUACUGACGCUGAGGCUCGAAAGCGUGGGGAG
rnacentral:rRNA from 1 species